AUUGAACGCUGGCGGCAUGCCUUACACAUGCAAGUCGAACGGCAGCAUGGGUGCUUGCACCUGAUGGCGAGUGGCGAACGGGUGAGUAAUGCAUCGGAACGUACCCCGGAAGUGGGGGAUAACGUAGCGAAAGUUACGCUAAUACCGCAUAUUCUGUGAGCAGGAAAGCGGGGGAUCGCAAGACCUCGCGCUUCCGGAGCGGCCGAUGUCGGAUUAGCUAGUUGGCGGGGUAAAGGCCCACCAAGGCAACGAUCCGUAGCGGGUCUGAGAGGAUGAUCGCCACACUGGGACUGAGACACGGCCCAGACUCCUACGGGAGGCAGCAGUGGGGAAUUUUGGACAAUGGGCGCAAGCCUGAUCCAGCCAUGCCGCGUGAGUGAAGAAGGCCUCGGGUUGUAAGGUACGUACUUUCGUCGUCGGGUAGGAAAGUACGACGACUACUCCCUAACUUACCGGGGUAGGGUUAGGGUAGUGGUACGGUACCCGACGGACGACUAAGAAAGACGACCGGACCGUAACCGUAACCGUUACGGUACCCG
rnacentral:rRNA from 1 species